AUUGAACGCUGGCGGCAGGCCUAACACAUGCAAGUCGAGCGAGCGGCGGACGGGUGAGUAAUGUAUGGGGACUGCCCGAUAGAGGGGGAUAACUACUGGAAACGGUGGCUAAUACCGCAUACUAGCGGAUAACCCAUAUGGGAUUAGCUAGUGGGUGGGGUAAAGGCGCACCUAGUCGACGAUCUCUAGCUGGUAUGAGCGGAUGAACAGCCACACUGGGACUGAGACACGGCCCAGACUCCUACGGAGGCAGCAGUGGGGAAGAUUGCGCAAUGGGGGAAAGCCUGAUGCAGCCAUGCCGCGUGUAUGAAGAAGGCCUUAGGGUUGUAAAGUACUUUCAGCGGGGAGGCGUUACCCGCAGAAGAAGCACCGGCUAACUCCGUGCCAGCAGCCGCGGUAAUAC
rnacentral:rRNA from 1 species